AUACUUAGGGUGCAAGCGUUAAUCGGAAUUACUGGGCGUAAAGCGCUCGUAGGCGGCUUGUUAAGUCGGAUGUGAAAUCCCCGGGCUCAACCUGGGAACUGCAUUCGAUACUGGCAGGCUAGAGUAUAGUAGAGGCAAGUGGAAUUCCGGGUGUAGCGGUGAAAUGCGUAGAUAUCCGGAGGAACAUCAGUGGCGAAGGCGACUUGCUGGACUAAUACUGACGCUGAGGAGCGAAAGCCAGGGGAGCAAACGGGAUUAGAUACCCCAGUAGUCC
rnacentral:rRNA from 1 species